AUACGUAGGGUGCGAGCGUUGUCCGGAAUUACUGGGCGUAAAGAGCUCGUAGGUGGUUUGUCGCGUCGUCUGUGAAAUUCCGGGGCUUAACUCCGGGCGUGCAGGCGAUACGGGCAUAACUUGAGUACUGUAGGGGAGACUGGAAUUCCUGGUGUAGCGGUGAAAUGCGCAGAUAUCAGGAGGAACACCGGUGGCGAAGGCGGGCUGAUGGCCAUAAAGUGACGCUGAGGAUCGACAGCAUGGGUAGCGAACAGGAUUAGACACGCGGGUAGACUAUGCCGUAAACGGUGGGCGCUAGGUGUAGGGGUCUUCACAGACUUCUGUGCCGUAGCUAACGCAUUAAGAGCCCCGCCUGGGGAGUACGGCCGCAAGGCUAAAACUUAAAGGAAUUUACGGGG
rnacentral:rRNA from 1 species